CGUAGGGUGCAAGCGUUAUCCGGAAUUAUUGGGCGUAAAGAGCUCGUAGGCGGUUUGUCGCGUCUGCUGUGAAAACUGGAGGCUCAACCUCCAGCCUGCAGUGGGUACGGGCAGACUAGAGUGCGGUAGAGGAGAUUGGAAUUCCUGGUGUAGCGGUGGAAUGCGCAGAUAUCAGGAGGAACACCGAUGGCGAAGGCAGAUCUCUGGGCCGUAACUGACGCUGAGGAGCGAAAGCAUGGGAGCGAACAGGAUUAGAUACCCUGGUAGUCCAUGCCGUAAACGUUGGGAACUAGAUGUAGGACCAUUCCACGGUUUCUGUGUCGCAGCUAACGCAUUAAGUCCCGCUGGGAGUACGGCCGCAAGGCUA
rnacentral:rRNA from 1 species